rnacentral:rRNA from 1 species
ACUCAAAUGAAUUGACGGGGGCCCGCACAAGCAGCGGAGCGUGUGGUUUAAUUCGAUGGUACGCGAAGAACCUUACCUGGGUUUGACAUGCCCGGACAGCCUUCGAAAGAGGGUUUCCCCGCAAGGGGCCGGUGCACAGGUGCUGCAUGGCUGUCGUCAGCUCGUGCCGUGAGGUGUUGGGUUAAGUCCCGCAACGAGCGCAACCCUUGUCGCUAGUUGUACUUUUCUAGCGAGACCGCUGAGACAAACUCAGAGGAAGGCGGGGAUGAUGUCAAGUCAGCAUGGCCCUUAUGCCCAGGGCUACACACACGCUACAAUGGCCGGCACAAAGGGCCGCGAAACCGCGAGGUGAAGCUAAUCCCACAAAACCGGCCUCAGUUCAGAUUGCAGGCUGAAACUCGCCUGCAUGAAGGCGGAGUUGCUAGUAACCGUAGGUCAGCACACUACGGUGAAUACGUUCUCGGGCCUUGCACACACCGCCCGU